rnacentral:rRNA from 1 species
UAACGCGAAGAACCUUACCAGGUCUUGACAUCUUCUGCUAACCUAAGAGAUUAGGCGUUCCCUUCGGGGACGGAAUGACAGGUGGUGCAUGGUUGUCGUCAGCUCGUGUCGUGAGAUGUUGGGUUAAGUCCCGCAACGAGCGCAACCCUUAUUGUCAGUUGCCAGCAUUUAGUUGGGCACUCUGGCGAGACUGCCGGUGACAAACCGGAGGAAGGUGGGGAUGACGUCAAAUCUUCAUGCCCCUUAUGUCUUGGGCUUCACGCAUGCUACAAUGGCCGGUACAAAGGGCUGCGAUACCGUAAGGUGGAGCGAAUCCCAAAAGGCCGGUCUCAGUUCGGAUUGAGGUCUGCAACUCGACCUCAUGAAGUCGGAGUCGCUAGUAAUCGCAGAUCAGCA